rnacentral:rRNA from 1 species
ACGAACGCUGGCGGCUGCUUAACACAUGCAAGUCGAACGGAGUGGCGAACGGGUGAGUAACGCGUGAGCAACCUGCCUAUGACAGUGGGAUAGACUCGGGAAACAGGGAUUAAUACCGCAAAGUAAUAGAUGGGCUCGCGUCUUAUUAGCUAGUUGGUGAGAUAACAGCCCAACAAGGCGACGAUCAGUAGCCGGUCUGAGAGGAUGAACGGCCACAUUGGAACUGAGACACCGUCCAAACUCCUACGGGAGGCAGCAGUGGGGUAUAUUGCACAAUGGGGGAAACCCUGAUGCAGCGCCGCCGCGUGAACUAAGAAGGUAUUCGUAUCGUAAAGUUCUGUCCUAUGGGAAGCAGUACCAUAGAAGAAAGCCCCGGCUAAAUACGUGCCAGCAGCCGCGGUAAUAC